rnacentral:lncRNA from 1 species
CAACUACACGACUUUAAACCGUUUUAAGAGGCAUGAUGGAUUGGAGAUUUGGCGGAUGAAUCAUUCAGUGUGGAAGUAGACGAACAGGCAUGAUGAGGUUGUGCACAAAAGCUGGUUGGAAUGAUGAGGGUGUGACUUCAGUCACAGGAGUGAUGGAGAGGCAUAACACCAUCUGAGAGAUGUGAACAGCUUCCUGUCUCCAAGGGGAUUUUUUCCCACAGAAAUAUAUUGCUGAUUGGAUGUUGCCUCUCUAAUUUUGGAGACCAUAUGUUCUAGGUAUUCCGGGAAAAAUCUGCAUUUCAAAUCCUGGAUCCAUUGUUCCCAAAAGCCAUGUAAGAAUCCCAACAGAGAUAGGUCCCUCUCAUGGAUAUGUCCUAUGUCCCAGGGAUACCGCUCAAAGCAUUUUGUGGCUGAAGACAUUUAAUCUUUCAUAGAAACUCCUGAAGAAGAUGUUAUUGCUAUUAUAAUCAUAUGUAUUUGGAAAUGAAGACUUUGAAAGGUUCUAACUUAUUCAACAUUUCUCAACCAGCAUGUGGCAAAGUUCUGAAAGUCUGUUAUUCUAACCAACAUCCUACCUUGAGGAGCAAUGAUGUUCACCUGUCUGGUUGCCACAACUCACGUCCUUCUGUGGGCAGCAGAGUUCCAAGACGUUCCCCAAGAUCUCAUUUUCUGGAGGUGCAUGUCUCCCGUGACCCCCUCUUUGGAUUGCCCGCAGAGCCCGUGAAGAUGGUGUUAUCACUCCUGUGAUUACUUUACUGAUCAGGUGACUUUGAGUCAAUCAAAAGGUAGAUUAUCCAGGUGUGCCUGAUUUGAUCAGGUGGUCCCUUAAGGAGGCUUAAAAUGACCCUUUCUGAAGUAGAGUAAUUGGAAAAGUAAGAGGGUCUAUGGGUGGGGUCACCUGGCAAGGAACUGAACUCAGCCUCCAUGAGCUCUGGCCACCAGCUGACCUUUAGCAAGAAAGCAAAUCUUUCUUUGGUCAGUCUCCACAACAGGACGAAGCUGGCUGAGCCCUUGCCUUUGGCCCUGUGAGAUGCUGACCCGAGUAUCCAGCGAACACGUGCCAGAGUCCUGACCCAUGGAAACUGAGAUGAUGAGUCUGUGUUGCUUUAAGCCACUGUGUCUACAGUAAUUGGUUAGACAGCAAUAGAAAACUAAUAAACCUCCCUCUUUUUCAUUUACCAUCUUUCUUUCCUUCUGUCCACAAAUAUUUAUUGAUCAUUUAUUCAUCUAUUAGAACAUGUGCUAGGAACAGUAGCUACAACGGCCAGCAAAGCCAGAUAAGUUCUCUGCCCUCACGUAGUUUAUAAUAUCAUGAGGGAGACAGACAUAAAUCAAAUAACAUGGAUACAUGAAAAGCUGCAACUUAGAUGACUGAGGAGACCCCCAUAGCACCAUGACAGCUUGGUCUAGCCAGAGAGCAUAGGAAACAUGUUCCUCGUUGCAUUAGCAAUUAAGCAAGAGCUGACAGAUGAGCAGUAAUUGCCAAGGCCAAAUUGAAGGGAAGGACAAUGCAGGCAGAGGGAACAGCAUGAACAAAAUCUCUGUGGAGGCAAAAUCAUACAAGUGCAAGGGACAAAAAGAAGGUCCUCUGACUGCAGCUUGGCCACUGGGACAGGAGAUGAGGCUGGGCUGGUGCAUACAAAGCCUAAAAGCCAUAUGAAGUGCGUUUCCUUUGUAGGAAGAACAAUGAUGUCUUAGUCAGUUUGGGCUGCUAUAAUGAAUUACCAUAGAUUGGGUGGCUUGAAUGACAGACAUUGAUUUCUCACAGCUUUGGAGGCUGGGAAGGCUAAGAUCAAAGUCCUGACAGAUUCAAUGUGUGGUGGGUCUGCUUCCUGGUUUGAAGAUGGCCUUCUUUUCCUUGUAUCCUCACAUGGUAGAGGCAGUAAAGAGAAAGGAAGCAAGCUCUCUCCUGUCUCUCCUUAUGGGGGCACACAUCCACCACGAGGUCCCCAACCUCAGAACCCAUCGCCUCUCAAUGCCCCCACCUUCUAAUACCAUCCCAUUAGAGCUUAGGGUUUUGACAUAUGAAUUUGUGGAGGACACACACACAUGCCAUCCAUAACAAAUAGAAAGCCAAUUACAGGAGAAUGUCAAGCAAAAGGAAUGCAGAAAGGCAGGAAAUGGGCAGAACAGUGUAAAGUAAGUAGUAUAGACCCCAGGAGAACAGUGAGCCUCUACCUGAGUGAUGGCACAGGGAAGGAGAAAGGCGGGUCAGGGGGCAGAGAGGAGGCAGGGUGUGUGGUUUGGAAACUGAUUAGAUGAGUGGAGCAAGAGAGAAGGGUAGCCAGCUUUGGCUUUGCUGUCCUUAGAGAAUUCAGAGGAGGAGGAGGAGGGGGAGCAGAGGGAGGAGGAAAAGAAGGAUGGAGGAGAAGAGAGAGGAGGGCAAGGGGAAGCCAGGGGAGGAGGAGAGGAAGGAGUGAGGGUCAUUGGAAGGAAGGGGCAAAGCCUGGUUUGUCCCUCCUGGGGUGAAGGGUGGAACUGUCACACAUAUCUACAGCCAAAGGCACAAUCAGGAACAUUUACUACAUAGCAGAGGUGGCUGAAAUGAUGACAGUGAAUGGAAUCUUGGAUGAUGUGAAAGCAGAGAAAAAAGGCCAAGGACAGAACCAUCUGGACAGCCUCCAUAUCUUUCUCACCUCUUUGGGUGACUCAAAUUUUCUGUUUCAAAAAUAAAGGAAAAGUGGGUAGCAUGUACUUCCUUUCAUUAAGUAUCCAAUCAAUAAAAAAAUUGAAUAAUAAAUAAUAAAAAUUAUAUGUAUAGACUAUAAAAUAAAAUUUAAAUAGUUUGAAUUUUAGAGACUCUGAUGUGAUAUAAUAAGAAAUGAGGCUGUAUUAUAAUGACCUUGAGAUAAGAGAAGGACUCAGAUACAUUAUUACAGAUUUAAAUUGGGUGCUUUUAUGAAGUUUAAGUCAAUGAUGUAGCCAGCUGUGGUCAGAGGACCUAUGAUUGUACUGAAUCUAUGAUAUACUAUUGAGUUUGUUUGUUUUUAGCUGAGAUUCAAUGUAUUGUUAAUUUUUCCUUCAAGCAAAUCCGGCAGAUAUAGUUUUAUUUUUCAUCUGAAAAUGAAUGGAAAGAUUUUGUACUUUAUGGACUCAUCAAAUUAUAUGAGAAAAUUUACAUUUAGAAAUACAGGGUGUGUUGGCUUAUACCUGUAAUCCCAGUGUUUUGGGAGGCUGAGACAGGAGGAUCACUUGAGGCCAGGAGUUGAAGACCAGCCUGGGCAACAUAGCGAGACCUCGUCUCCACACACACGCACACGCACACACAAUAGAUAAAAAUAAAGGCCGGGCGCGGUGGCUCACGCCUGUAAUCCCAGCACUUUGGGAGGCCGAGGUGGGUGGAUCAUGA